rnacentral:lncRNA from 1 species
AUGAACAAGUGCAUCCCUGCCAAUGGAAUUAGUCUGAAGUUUGAGAAAAACCCAACCAAUAAUGGCCUAUUUGACGGGGUUUCUUUUAUCACAAGAAGCCCCAAGGAAGGCAGUUGUUGAUAGUGGUUCCACUGUUCAUUACGAAAGACCCAGGGUCUGUCUAUAUUUUCUGCCAUCUUUAGAGUUUUUUGUCUCAUUUGGUCUUGAGAUGACUCUCAUAAUGCAAUUUAUACAAAUUCAAGACAAAAGAGCAAGGGCAGUACUAAUUAGAACUUUUCUCUAUUUUAUUUUUCUUUUUGGUACCAGGGAUUGAAUUUAUGCGUGCUUAACCACUGAGCCACGUCCCUAUCCCUUUUUAUAUUUUAUUUUGCUUAGGGCCUCCCUAAAUUGCUGAGGCUGGUCUUGAACAUGUGAUCUUCCUGCCCCAGUCUCUCAAACCACUGGGAUUACAGGCCAAUGCCACUGUACCCAGCAGAACUUUUCUCUUUUUGACAGUGCUGUGUACUGGAUCAUAUUCCCACCCCCACAGUUUUUACGUUGGAACUCUAAUCCCUAAUGUGACGAUGUGUAGCAUGGGCCUUUGGGAAGUAAAUGAAAAAACUUAUUUCUCUAUUCACAAGACGCUUCUUCAGACACCAGGUGUUCCUUUUUUGCCCAAGCUAUUCUCCAAUUCUCUGAGGACAUUGAUUGGGUGUCUUAUGAUUUAUUUCAGUUCUGACAUUGUCUGCCUUGAGUCAGAAAGGCACUGCACUUACAUCUGCCACUUGUAAUCCCAGUGACUCUGGAUGCUGAGGCAGGAAGAUGGCAAGUUCAAGGCCAGCCUGAGCAACCUAGUGAGAGCCUGUCUCAAAAUAAAAAAAUCAAAAAAAGGCUGGGGAUAUAGCUUAGUGGUAAAGAGCCCCUGGGUUCUCAAUCCCCAGUACUAAAGUAAGAAUAAUACAACUCAAGAAUAAUGAAGUGGAAGAGACGCGUAGGCAAAAUAUGGUGAGGCGGUGUGGAACUUCCAUGUCCUGUCUGUGGUUUGAAGUAUUCACCUACUCAGAAGUUCUCUGAACCCCAUCAUUUAGUAUAUUUUUAAUGGAAGUUCUGUAAGCAUGAUGAUUAAAUCACUGGUGAUUGUGCUCACUCUCUAGUUCCUCUUCCCUUCCAGAAAUUAUGGGCUGGGACUGAAAGUCCCCCCUCUGAUCAUGUGUUUCACUCUCUAGCAAUCAGACCCCAACCUCAAGGAGUCACCUCAUUAACAUAAAGUUAGAAGUGGCUGGAGAGGGCUUAUUAUGAUUAAAGAUACUGCUUUCACCCCUAGCACUCAGGAAAUUCCAAGAAUUUUUAAAUGCUCUCUGUCAGGAACUGGGGAAAUGAUCAAAUAUGUAUUUCUUACUGUAUCGCAGUGUCACAGGAGGUAAUCUGACAUAGAUAGGUUAUGAGGAUGGGGUCCUCGUGAUUAUAGAAGAAGAGAUACCUGCGAGCUUGUGUGUUGUCUUCUGCGGAAUGCCUCCACCCUCCCCAUGUCAUGAGAGGACACAGUAUUUGAAAAUCAGCGUAAUUCACUACAUCAACAGACUAUAGUAGAAAAACUACAUACUUCUCUCAUGUAGGAAAAGGAAGUGUAAUUCAGAUACAUGGUGUGAAUAUUUUCAUGGUUAUCUGUAGUUCAGGUCAUCUCAAAGUGAGAGUUGAAGUCCCACAGUCACCUGCUAGGUGCUCAGAAUACCAAGACAAUACAAGUUAUCAUCAAAUGGACUUCUUUUACCAUCUCCCAUGUAUAGUACUUACCAAGUUCUCUGGCGCUAGGUGUUGUCCCUGGCAUCUGCUACAAAUUCUUUCCCUUCUGAGGGAUCAGACUGUCACUUACUUGCCUGAUCUCAAGACACUUCUUUGCUGAUUAUAUAUGCCCCUCUGAAGUCUGUUCUGAUAGGUUCUCUACACAUGCUUGUGACAGUGGGUCAAAAAGAGUACUUGCAGUGCCUUCUCCAACCCAGGAGAAAAUGUAAGAGGUACUAGUGCUUCCCUAGAUCCUGCUGGUGGUGGCCUGCUUUCAAAAACUAGGAAGAUCUAAUAUGUUCUUUUAAAAAAAAUUUUUAGUUGUACAUGGGCAUAGUACCUUUAUUUAUUUUUAUGUGGUUCUGAGGAUCAAACCCAGUGCCUCACAUGUGCAAGGCAAGUGCUCUACCACUGAGCCACAACCCCAGCCCCUAAUAUGUUCUUCAGUGAGGAAAGGGUGGGAUUUCUUGCUUUAUCCAGGAAAGUUGUUAUUAUCUCAUUAUUUGAGAAGUUUCAAUGAAUUAUAAAAAUAUGUUUUAUGUUUCCAUGCUUCAGAACUAAGAAACCUCUCUUCUAAAACAGAUUUCUUUAAUUCCAUAUUUCUGACUUCACAUUUUAGGCAUCUUUCAUUUCACUCAUUAUUCAGAAUUUAUAUAUUAACCUUCAUAACUUCACAUUAUUUUGUUUCACAACAUUUUAGCUUAUUUUCUAUGUUUUCAUCUAUGAGGAGCAACCAUUUUUUUCAAAAUGUUGAUGUAUAAGUUUAUUGUAUUUACUAGAAGUGGGUCAAAUUUGGCCUUAGGAAGCCACCAUACAUUCUUACAUAAUGAACUGCUACGUAACUUUGUAUGUAAACUAAAUGACUUACUUUUGUAACAAAUGGCUGAGUCUCAGCCAAGCAUAGCAGUUAAGCUUCAGUCUAUUACAACUGUUCAGCCCAUGUUCAAAUAAGGCAAAUGCGGAGCAGUAACCAGUUAAACUCUGUCUGUACCUCAUUUCUGUUUUCUGUCCAUAAAUGCCUGACCACAUUGCACCUCUGGAGUUUCUCUGAAUCCAUUCUGGUUUUGAGGGCUGUGUAGUUCUCAAAUCAUUCUUUGUUCAAUUAAACGCUGC